rnacentral:rRNA from 1 species
GACGAACGCUGGCGGCGUGCUUAACACAUGCAAGUCGAACGGUGAAGGGGAGCUUGCUCCCGGGAUCAGUGGCGAACGGGUGAGUAACACGUGGGCAACCUGCCCCUCACUCUGGGAUAACUCCGGGAAACCGGGGCUAAUACCGGAUACGACCGGGAGCGACAUCGCUCCUGGUGGAAAGAACUUCGGUGAGGGAUGGGCCCGCGGCCUAUCAGCUAGUUGGUGGGGUAACGGCCCACCAAGGCGACGACAGGUAGCCGGCCUGAGAGGGCGACCGGCCACACUGGGACUGAGACACGGCCCAGACUCCUACGGGAGGCAGCAGUGGGGAAUAUUGCGCAAUGGGCGAAAGCCUGACGCAGCGACGCAGCGUGAGGGACGAAGGCCUUCGGGUUGUAAACCUCUUUCAGCGGGGACGAAGCGAAAGUGACGGUACCCGCAGAAGAAGCACCGGCUAACUACGUGCCAGCCGCCGCAGUAAAAC